GUGGGGAAUUUUGGACAAUGGGCGCAAGCCUGAUCCAGCAAUGCCGCGUGCAGGAAGAAGGCCUUCGGGUUGUAAACUGCUUUUGUACGGAACGAAAAGGCUCUGGUUAAUACCUGGGGCUCAUGACGGUACCGUAAGAAUAAGCACCGGCUAACUACGUGCCAGCAGCCGCGGUAAUACGUAGGGUGCAAGCGAUAAUCGGAAUUACUGGGCGUAAAGCGUGCGCAGGCGGUUUUGUAAGACAGACGUGAAAUCCCCGGGCUCAACCUGGAAAUGGGGUUUGUGACUGAAAAGCUGGAGUGCGGCAGAGGGGGAUGGAAUUCCGCGUGUAGCAGUGAAAUGCGUAGAUAUGCGGAGGAACACCGAUGGCGAAGGCAAUCCCCUGGGCCUGCACUGACGCUCAUGCACGAAAGCGUGGGGAGCAAACAGGAUUAGAAACCCCUGUAGUCC
rnacentral:rRNA from 1 species